rnacentral:rRNA from 1 species
UUGGCGGCAGGCCUAACACAUGCAAGUCGAGCGGUAGCACAGAGAGCUUGCUCUCGGGUGACGAGCGGCGGACGGGUGAGUAAUGUCUGGGAAACUGCCUGAUGGAGGGGGAUAACUACUGGAAACGGUAGCUAAUACCGCAUAACGUCGCAAGACCAAAGUGGGGGACCUUCGGGCCUCAUGCCAUCAGAUGUGCCCAGAUGGGAUUAGCUAGUAGGUGGGGUAACGGCUCACCUAGGCGACGAUCCCUAGCUGGUCUGAGAGGAUGACCAGCCACACUGGAACUGAGACACGGUCCAGACUCCUACGGGAGGCAGCAGUGGGGAAUAUUGCACAAUGGGCGCAAGCCUGAUGCAGCCAUGCCGCGUGUGUGAAGAAGGCCUUCGGGUUGUAAAGCACUUUCAGCGGGGAGGAAGGCGGUGAGGUUAAUAACCUCAUCGAUUGACGUUACCCGCAGAAGAAGCACCGGCUAACUCCGUGCCAGCAGCCGCGGUAAUACGGAGGGUGCAAGCGUUAAUCGGAAUUACUGGGCGUAAAGCGCACGCAGGCGGUCUGUCAAGUCGGGAUGGGAAAUCCCCGGGGCUCAACCUGGGAACUGCAUUCGAAACUGGCAGGCUAGAGUCUUGUAGAGGGGGGUAGAAUUCCAGGUGUAGCGGUGAAAUGCGUAGAGAUCUGGAGGAAUACCGGUGGCGAAGGCGGCCCCCUGGACAAAGACUGACGCUCAGGUGCGAAAGCGUGGGGAGCAAACAGGAUUAGAUACCCUGGUAGUCCACGCCGUAAACGAUGUCGAUUUGGAGGUUGUGCCCUUGAGGCGUGGCUUCCGGAGCUAACGCGUUAAAUCGACCGCCUGGGGAGUACGGCCGCAAGGUUAAAACUCAAAUGAAUUGACGGGGGCCCGCACAAGCGGUGGAGCAUGUGGUUUAAUUCGAUGCAACGCGAAGAACCUUACCUGGUCUUGACAUCCACAGAACUUUCCAGAGAUGGAUUGGUGCCUUCGGGAACUGUGAGACAGGUGCUGCAUGGCUGUCGUCAGCUCGUGUUGUGAAAUGUUGGGUUAAGUCCCGCAACGAGCGCAACCCUUAUCCUUUGUUGCCAGCGGUUAGGCCGGGAACUCAAAGGAGACUGCCAGUGAUAAACUGGAGGAAGGUGGGGAUGACGUCAAGUCAUCAUGGCCCUUACGACCAGGGCUACACACGUGCUACAAUGGCAUAUACAAAGAGAAGCGACCUCGCGAGAGCAAGCGGACCUCAUAAAGUAUGUCGUAGUCCGGAUUGGAGUCUGCAACUCGACUCCAUGAAGUCGGAAUCGCUAGUAAUCGUAGAUCAGAAUGCUACGGUGAAUACGUUCCCGGGCCUUGUACACACCGCCCGUCACACCAUGGGAGUGGGUUGCAAAAGAAGUAGGUAGCUUAACCUUCGGGAGGGCGCUUACCACUUUGUGAUUCAUGACUG